rnacentral:lncRNA from 1 species
AUUUUGCUCUAUUUUGGACAUUUGUAAAAAGGUUUCGGCGAUUUUAGGAUAUUUUGUCUGUUAAAGCUACCUGCUUGUUUGCUAGUCUUCACUCUAUGGUCAGGGAGUAUUAUUUUCUUUUAUUUAUGUUUAUAAUCCUAUGUCCCGGCCUGUAUAAGUUGAUGUAUAGGAUAUGUAUAUGAUUUAGGUUUUAGAUACUUUGUAUGCUGGGUUUAAUUCGGAAGGAAAACAUAUAACAUAUAAUUUCGGUAUGCAUUAUGUGGACCAUAGUAAGUGAUAACAACAUACUUAUGGAACACAAUUUGGAUAUUAGGACCAAACCAAUAGCGUUAGAAUAUAGAAAACACCUAACUGUACGGUAUGUGUUAAAAUGUCAAGCAAACGUGUUUGCUAUUUUGCUUAUAAAAGCUCCGAUGAAAUGCGUGACUUGAUUAUCUUAAAUACACACAAAUAUGUUUUAGUAGAGCAUACCAACUACCAAGUCUAUGAUAAGUGACUCAAAUAGUCUAAAACUAUAGUAGUUGGAAAUUAUACUUGUCGCAUACUUGUUUAAACACUUUUGGUACCUAUGUAUAUACUUUUUUUAGUAAAUUAUCUUGCAUUGGUACUGCCCUGAUAUGCAGUUUGCGAAUUGAGUAUUGAAUUGUGACUUGACAUCAAUUAGCACAUCCUUUACCACGCGUCUUUAACUGUAAUUGAGAUUUUGGUACGUGUAUGCAUGGGAAAGUUGGAAUCUUAAAAGUUAAGUUACAAAAAUUGCUACGAAACAUAAUUCUGAUCAAUAUAUACGCUAAUUAUGUCAUCACAUGCACUUCCCUUAGUUAACGCGCUAAAAACACGCAAUAAGUUUAGAGAGUCCAGUUAAGGAUAAUUUCCCCUGUCACGUUUUCUGUCCGUAACUAUUUAUACGCCCGUGAAUUUUAAAAGGGUUUCAGUUGCUAUAAAACUAAACAGGCAAGUUUGUGAAGAGUAAUAAACUCUGGGUAUCUAUUCAUUAAUUCUGUUGUUUCAAAAGUCAGAUAUUAUCUGGAAGUCAACCUUUAUGACUGUUAUGUAGCUAUGUUUCAGUGGAAGCCUGCUUUCACAAACACACUGUCUAAAAUUCUUCGUCUGGCAGGGUAACAAUCAGAGCGGAAAUUACCUGACUAGUUUUUAUAUAUGUGCUUUAUUUGCAUGGAAUAAAAUUCCAAUACUACUGUACCCACUUCGUGUGUACGUAAUGAAUAAAAAUGGUGUUCCUUAUUGGCUUAAUCACAAGCAUUUAAUUCCGAUAAAGAUGAACGGCAGCCUUGAAUCUUCUCGGAACAAAAAAAUUCUACGGCGCUGUUACUUCCAGCCUUGAAAUGUAAUUUAGUUUUUAUAAAUGUUUGAGCAUUUGGUACCCAAAGAACAUGCCCUGUCUCCCUGGGGCGAAAAAAGUUAACCUGUUUGAUUGAGUAUAACUUAAUAAUUAAACGAGCUAUUAUGCUAUAAUUAUGUUUUUUAUAUCCUCUGUCUGAAUUAAAUUUGGAUAUAAUGCAUGAGGUUUUACAUACUGUUUUGACCAAGUUAUCGCUGAUAUCCUAGUGGGGGAUAUUUUUGCAAUUCCUAGUAUACUCUAAAAAGUUUCCAUCUGAUUGCUCUUACAGAUCUUACAGAUUCAGCUUCAUAAGACAAUGAUAUUAGCAACAAUGAAACUCCAAACAACCCAGAUGAAAGUGAAACUUCCUAAAACUUGUGACAGCGAGUAAGCUCCAUCGGUAAAUAGUUCUAAAAGGACAUUGACGUCACUUCUAACAAUAGAAGAAGAGCGUUUAUUUACUAAAACCUUUUCAAAGCUCCUUCACUCGUCCCAACUUGCAGAAAACACCUGGGCUUUCCCAUUUGUUGGAAACAUUAACCGUUCUCACAUUAGAAGACAAACAAAUCAUCUGGUCGAAUAAGUCGUGCUGCAAAUUGUUCGUCCAAUAUGAAUUCUAGACAGACAAAAACACGGCUUUGUGCUUUGUAAAUUACUGAAAUUGCCGCUAUUUCCAUUCCCCUUGCGAUUG